GCAAAGUGACUUCCAACAAGACAGGGGUAAAAGAACCUGAGCUAGAGUCCAGACAACCAAAUCUGUUAAAGGUAGAAUAUGGUGAUGGGUGCUGUGCAAGAAGAAGGAGGGAAGAAGGAAGCUGAGUGUGCAGCAAAGACACCUGCAGGGACACAUAGAACCAGGCAUUUGCUGAAGGACACCUGGAUUGCACAACCAGCGGCUAACUUGCAUGAAAAAACAUUCUAGGUGGUUUUGCUUAAUGUUGGUCUCUCCAACUGUGCUACAAGCUCCAUGAGGUGAAGGACCAAGUUAAUUGUGUCUUCCAUGGUAUGUCCCAGUCCUGCCACUUUAGGCAUUUUAAAUAUUUGCUGAAUAUUGUUUGAAUAAAUAAUUUGUGGAGAAUUGGAAGAGAUUUGUGGGAUAAAUAUUUUUAUAUGGCAUGUGGUUGAACCUGCAUAUGCUUUUCUAUUUUAACAAUAUUGUCAUUGGGACUGUAGAAUUUGACUCAUAAACAUCACUUUGCUUUUCUUGGAAUUCUAAUUCAUAUUUACAGUUUCAAAUGUCACCUCUCUUUUAAGUUCCACGUCAACAUAUUUGCCUAAUCCUUGGAUGUCCUGCCAUUUGAACUUGAAAUGUCUAAAAUCUAAUUUGUCAUUUUUUAAAACUGACUCAAAUAAUAAUCUCACGUGUUUCCUAUGUUCUAGGUCAGAAAAUUGUACACAACUUAAAUUUUUCCUUUUGCUUCCUAUGUCUGUUCAUAACUAUAUCUUAUUAGCCAUGAAGUUGUGUUUUUCUGUUCCUUUUUAUAUUUUUUGCAUAUUCAUUUCUUUUCCAUCCCUGUCCUGGAAGCCCUGACUACCUGACAACCACUACAUCCUGGUUCCCUUGGCUUUCCUUUCUCUUCUUUCCAG
rnacentral:lncRNA from 1 species